CACGACGCCGACGGCGCUGACAGUGAUCAGAAUAAGCANUAAACGCGUGAUNGCCGAUAAGGCUGUUCUGGGUACACUGUGAACAUUGUGAUNCUGGUGAGACAGGUCAGACAGGCAGGUCANCCGGCUCAGNUGNUGCAGGUUAUNANCUCUAACAGUUUCGGUAGUAUAGAUUGCACACANAAUACUNCGUAUGAGACCUUCUAUAGCGCAUACCAUUGACCACAUUGUCAAAGAUACCGUAGUCAUCCGGGAGCCUAAAGAACGUUAUGUAGGAUUGAUNGAGGUGAAGAGAGGGCAGGGAACAUUGGAGCAAUUAUUCUCGUUGAGGUAGGUGAUUGCAGAGAUUGUGCAGAUUAGGCAGUCAAUGUAAUUAGUACAAGGAGAACGAGCACAACNAUCUCGACAGUAGAGGCGGCAGAGGCGUCUAUGCGUUGCGUGCUUCGAGAGCCACCAUUGAAACCGUCGUAGCAAGCGUCGGACGGGAAAGACGGUAAAUAGCGCGGUCANGGCGAGAAAGGCAGGAGAACUAUGAGGAAUUUAACGCACUUACCGCUCAUGGUGCUCAAGUUACCCCGACUGACACAGCUUGAAUAGCAGUAUUGGCGUGAC
rnacentral:rRNA from 1 species